rnacentral:rRNA from 1 species
UGCAACAUAGCGUCAAUGCACUGGAUCCCAUUAGAACUUCGCAGUUAAGCGCACUCAGGCUAGAGUAGUACUAGGAUGGGUGAUCACUCGGGAAGUCCUAGUGUUUUAU